CGUUUUUACGGUGGAAACACCAAAGGUUUAGUUGAACUCUACCCUACAAAAUUUUAGGGUAGCGUUCAAUUGGGUUCGGUGGAAACGACAAGAGUCGAGUUCGUGUUGCCAACAUAACAAAUCCAAAUUGCAUUGUGUAUCACGUGUUGUAUUAAUCGGUGUAGAAGAGAAUAUGGUAGUUGACUUUGUGCAGUUGGUAAUGUUCAACCCUGCCGCAACUCCAACCCGCGACUCAAACCCGAAUCUAACCCGACUCUGACCCGAUUUGAACCCUCGAUGGAAACGUAGUCAUAGAUGUUGUUGCAAUUAUUCAUUUUGUAAAAUACGAUAUGCUGUGAAAGAAUAUUAUAACGCAUAUUACAAAGUCAUCAAGUUCAUACAAUAUGUAUAUUUUCCAGCCAAAAUUAGGAAGAUGAGACUGUGGUGUACGAAUAUAACCGAUCGUGAGAGUAAUUAUAGCUUUGUCUUAUACAAUGAACAUGUAGAGAAGAUAUUAAGGUGAAGUUGGUGUUCUUAAGUGAAAUUAUAUAUUUCGUAACUACUAUUGUAUACAUUUUUAUGACGAGUUAAAAAAUACAUAUGACUGUUAGUCUCCUUAAAAAUGAGUGUUGUCAUGAAAUAAAGAACAUUUUAUUAGAAAAUAUUAUUUACUUUUUUUUAUUGGGAACCAACAUGCUCACAGUCUUUAAUACUGUCUAAUUCAGUUAUUAUAGAACAUGUAAAAUUUAAGUCCCCAAAUGGGAACGAAAUACAAUAAGAAGUUCAGGGUAAGUUGGCACUUAAUAAGCCAUUCAAUAUAGCUAUUCAUUAUACUUUACACAAAAGUAUUAAGUCACUUAUGACGAAAAAUCAUUAAUUUAGAAGAUAUU